rnacentral:rRNA from 1 species
CGGUUGAUCCUGCCGGAGGCUACUGCUAUCGGGAUUCGAUUAAGCCAUGCGAGUCGAGAGGGUUCGGCCCUCGGCUGACUGCUCAGUAACACGUGGAUAACUUGCCCUCAGGUAGGGGAUAAUCUCGGGAAACUGAGGAUAAUACCCUAUAGACAUCCUUUGCUGGAACGCUUGGAUGUUCAAAGGUAACGCCUGAGGAUAGGUCUGCGGCCUAUCAGGUUGUAGUGGGUGUAAUGGACCCACUAGCCCGCGACGGGUACGGGCCUUGAAAGAGGUAGCCCGGAGAUGGACUCUGAGACACGAGUCCAGGCCCUACGGGGCGCAGCAGGCGCGAAAACUUCGCAAUGCGGGAAACCGUGACGAGGGAAUCCCGAGUGCUCAUACAAUGCAUGGGCUUUUCUUAUGUGUAAAUAGCAUGAGGAAUAAGGGCUGGGUAAGACCGGUGCCAGCCGCCGCGGUAAUACCGGCAGCUCUAGUGGUAGCCACUUUUAUUGGGCCUAAAGCGUCCGUAGCCGGUCAGGUAAAUCCUUGGGUAAAUCGUACAGCUUAACUGUGCGGCUUCCGGGGAGACUGCCUGACUUGGGACCGGGAGAGGUUGGAGGUACUCCUGGGGUAGGGGUGAAAUCCUGUAAUCCUAGGUGGACCACCG